CCUACGGGUGGCUGCGGUGGGGAAUAUUGGACAAUGGGCGAAAGCCUGAUCCAGCCAUGCCGCGUGUGUGAAGAAGGCCUUCGGGUUGUAAAGCACUUUCAGUGGGGAAGAAAGCCUUGGGGCUAAUACCCUCGAGGAAGGACAUCACCCACAGAAGAAGCACCGGCUAACUCCGUGCCAGCAGCCGCGGUAAUACGGAGGGUGCGAGCGUUAAUCGGAAUUACUGGGCGUAAAGCGCGCGUAGGCGGUCUGAUAAGCCGGUUGUGAAAGCCCCGGGCUCAACCUGGGAACGGCAUCCGGAACUGUCAGGCUAGAGUGCAGGAGAGGAAGGUAGAAUUCCCGGUGUAGCGGUGAAAUGCGUAGAGAUCGGGAGGAAUACCAGUGGCGAAGGCGGCCUUCUGGACUGACACUGACGCUGAGGUGCGAAAGCGUGGGUAGCAAACAGGAUUAGAUACCCUAGUAGUC
rnacentral:rRNA from 1 species